rnacentral:tRNA from 1 species
CGCUUUGUAGUUCAACGGACAGAACGGAAGUUUCCUAAACUUCAAAUCCGGGUUCGAUCCCCGGCAAAGUGA